rnacentral:rRNA from 1 species
ACGUACAGGUUCCGUAGGUGACCUGCGCCAGGAUCAUUAU